rnacentral:lncRNA from 1 species
CUUCAAGGUGCUGGGAUGGUGGUGUGCCCAGGGAGGGUAUGGACGCUGCACGGCACCCCCCACACCUUGCCCUCUGCAGCUCUUCCAUUUGGCUGUGCCUGAGUUGUAUCCUUUACAAUAAACUGCAUGUGUUGACCACCUACUAUGUGCCAGGCACUGUGUUGGGCGCUGAGGAUUCCACUGGACAGAGCUGGUUCCUGCCUUCAAGGAACACCAUGUCCUCGCAGAUGCUAACAACACAUCACACACUCAGCCUCCACAGCAGCCAAGCAGCCAAGCAGCCCUUCGACAUGGAGGCAGCAGACCUGGAGGAAGUCGGACACGUUAGCAACCUGCCUGCUCUGAUGGAUCCGGACAACGAUGCUAAUAGUUGUGCUGAAUAGUAAGGAGAAAAGACAAUUAAAGAAGCAGCGUGGUGUCAGGGAUGAAACAAUGGACGAACUCCAAUCAUGUCUACACGCUCUCCUGCCCGCUUCAGCUCCCUUCCACCUCUUUUUUUCUGGAGAAAUCAGACUCGUGAUUCAAGGUGCAGCUCACAUGAUCCUGACUUGGUACAGGUUUCCUCGCCUCCAUGGGCAGAGGUGGUUAGUCUCUUCUUUGCCACCCACCCUCUCCCCACCUUCUUGCCUCCACCUCCACCCAGAUUUGUCUCUCCCUUUCUUCCAACACUUGUGACACUUCACCAAGG